UAAUCUUCUGGAAUUCAUAGCCACUAUGCCU
rnacentral:piRNA from 1 species